GUAGGUGAACCUGCGGAAGGAUCAUUACUGAAUGCUCCAGCUUGCUGGGCUUUCCGUGCCUUGGGAACCGCUGAAAUAUGCGGCAACCUUGGUCACACACACCUGUGCGCUUGCCUCCUGCUAAUUCGGUUGAAUUAGCAGGGGUGCAUCCCACCACAACAGACUGUUUCUUAGACUGAACCUAAAUUUAUAAUACCAAACUAAA
rnacentral:misc_RNA from 1 species